GUACGUAGGGGGCAAGCGUUUGUCCGGAUUUAUUGGGCGUAAAGAGCGUGUAGGCGGCUAUACAGGUCCGCUGUGAAAACUCGAGGCUCAACCUCGAGACGUCGGUGGAAACCGUAUGGCUAGAGUCCGGAAGAGGAGAGUGGAAUUCCUGGUGUAGCGGUGAAAUGCGCAGAUAUCAGGAAGAACACCCGUGGCGAAGGCGGCUCUCGUGGGACGGUACUGACGCUGAGACGCGAAAGCGUGGGGAGCGAACAGGG
rnacentral:rRNA from 1 species